GAUAACCAAAGAAAGAAAAAAGUAUCAAGAAGAAACUGAUGGGUGACUUCUGAAGUCUAUAAUUUCAGAUAAAAACGAAUUGUCGUCAAAUGAAAAAGGUCACAGAAAAAGAAUGGCGAUGCUUGAUCAUCUAAUAGCUGCUCAACAAAAUGGGGAAAAAAUCGAUGACACUGGAAUUCGAGAAGAAGUUGACAUAUUUGCUUGGUCAUGAUACAACCGCGAUGGCCAUAUGUUUCACAUUAUUAAUGCUUUUUGAAAAUGAAGAUGUUCAGGUUUUUAUAUUUUUAAAAUUAGGUAAAUAAUAUAUUAUUAUU